CAUACAAUAAAAAUUAUUCAGCAAACUGAAUUUCGCUAACAGCUGGCUAGAAAUUCUCACUUGCUUUUGGGGUGUGCAUUUUGGUUACAAUUAAAAAUCUUGGUUAGUAUGUGGUCUUUGGAUACAUCAAGCUUUGUUAAAACAAUUCAUAUCUGGUAAUUAGAGUCUCCCCAUACUCUUUCUCUUGAUGAGUUUUAUCUGGAGUUUGUAAUCAUUGCAAUCUCAGUUGUAUUUCAAUAUCAGUCUUAUUAAUUAUCUUGAUAAUUCCCUGACAGUUUUUCUAAAUUGAAGUUAAAGCAGGUCAUGAGUAAGCUGCACCUGCUUGCAGCAUAUGAGCUUCUGUGCCUCCAACUCUACAAGAAAGUAAAAUUUUUGCAACCUUUGCUUGCUGAUAAGGUGUGCUCGUGUUUGGAUGCAGCAAGUCUGACUUCAUCAAAAUUCUUUGCUCAGAUGCUCUGCUGGAACGUCGUAUCUGUUUUGCCAUUGCCAAGUUUGCUAUUCACUUAGUAACUUCUGUUUAGAGGAAAGCAAGGCUGAACUUUUUGGAGAAAACUUGUUUGCAGCAGUAACUGAACAUGAGAAAGAGUUAUGUGC
rnacentral:lncRNA from 1 species